CGAGUUUGUGUGUUUCUGUGUAUGUCUGUAUAGUAAGUUAGGUAAAAUAUCUUAAUUUGUGUUCUGAAGAUGAACUUACAGGUGUGGAACAAAAAGAGAGUAAUUAAGGACCGAAUUUUAAUUUUGUGACCUCGUUGACAUGAGAUGUGUUGCCAUGAGGGCUUCCAGUACUUCUUGGUGAUGACACAACUGAGUUCUACAAAGCAUGCUUUGCUUUUGAUGAUGGAGACUCGUACCAACAUGUGCCAAAAUGAAGAUGUGGUUCUGCAACCCCUGUCCAUCCAUCUCUCCCCUCCAAGAUGAUUCCUCAUCAUUUGAUGAGGAUGGGUGAUGUAAUGGACAAUUUAGACAACAUACCUCAGGCCAUGUUUUGAAUGUGAAAUCAAAUAAAUUGUAAGUUCCAAAAAAUUAUUGUUAUCCUUUGUCCUUAUUUGUAAUGCAGGUGUAUCUUUAUUAAAUAAUUUACAGUAAAUAGCUAUAUUUAAAUUAAAGUUUUUGGUUUUGUCUACUCACAACAUUCAUCCCUAUUGUAGGUUUCACAUAUAUUGUCUGUGCAUAACUGUAAGCCUUUUUAAGUUUAAAGUACCUAAAGUUUUAAUUGCACUGCAUUAAAAACUUUUAGUUCAAUGAACUAAAA